rnacentral:lncRNA from 1 species
GUCGGGUUUGGUGUUUGGCGGUGAUUUCCUUCUCUCUCUGUUUUUGAUGGUGGGCUUUCCCGGUUAGGGCUCUGGAUAUUAUAAUUUGACUAUACAUGCCGUGUCAUGUUUCGGUAAGAAGUAAACAAAGCCAUUUAUAUACCGCCCCCUCUCUCUUAAGAUGAUCUAUGCGUAGCGCAUGCUCACUGUUCUGAGCCUUGACGAAUUGUCAUGUCAAAUACAAAUAGUACAAAUAGUUCCGUCCAUAGAGAUUUAAUACAACACAUCACAUUAGUCACGGAGAUUUAUAGAUUAGUCUUCAAAUAUCAAAAAGGAGGACAUUUUUCAAGGAAGGACAAACCUUACAAAAGGAGGACUGUCCUCCGUAAAGGAGGAUGGUUGGUCACCUUAUAUAAUAUAUAUAUCUGUAUU